rnacentral:snRNA from 1 species
UAACCUGUGCUCCAGGGAAGAUACCAUGAUCACGAAAGUGGUUUUCCCAGGGUGAGGCUCAUCCAUUCCACUGCGGGUGUGCUGACCCCUGCGAUUUCCCCAAAUGCAGGAAACUCGACUGCAUAAUUUGUGGUGGUGGGGGACUGCAUUCGCGCUCUCCCCUG